GGCCGAGGGGCUCUCUCCUUUCCUACCUAGUAGUGGGUUAGCUCUCCUCGCUACCAUGUGGGCUGUGUAAGGUUUUUUGGCCAAGAUCUGACAGCCAGAGCUUAAAGAGAGAGUUUUCUUCUAGGUGCUACCUAGUUGUAACUUUGCAUAGUGUUCCUUUUGGUUUGAUGUGCUUGGAGAGGAAGGUUCCUAGGAUUUGUCCAUCGUUGUUCCGUGAGCCAGUGACAGAUCUACUUUUUCUUUUCUUCCUUUGAUGCUUGGCUUCUGUGUUUGUGCUUCUUCUGAUUCUUUAUUGAAUAAGAGGGAUCUUGAGGGUAAAUGCUAGCUGAUCGCUGGGGCAAUCCCUCUAGCCUCUUCCUCUUCUUCUGCUAUUUUCCCUUGAGCCUCUACGUGCUUGACUUCCAUGGUCUCGGUGCUUUAAUGGUAUUGGUUUUGAGUUUAAGAAAUGCUGCCUAGGUUCUAAGGGUGUUGUUGUGCUUUGGGUUACCUAGAAAGGCUUUGUAGCCGUGUGUGGCCCACGCGAUGAGCUUCAGUUUGCUGCAAUCUCCCUCUUGGUGAAUAAUGUUCAGCGACGAGCGGCAGAGGCGUCUCUCCUUGGUUCUGGCAGGUGUUGGAUUUUGACACAUGACCUGCCCCAACUAGAGUUUGUGCUAAUGGGUUUGGGCCGAAUAUUGUUUGGGGCUAGUUUUUUUUUUUUUUUUUUUUUUUUAAUCUUAUUAGAUCAUAGGUUAGGUUUGAUUUGAUUGUAUUAUGGCCAUGAGCCAAUCUCUGUACUGGGAUGUAAGCAGCC
rnacentral:misc_RNA from 1 species